AGAUUGAACGCUGGCGGCAUGCCUUACACAUGCAAGUCGAACGGCAGCACGGACUUCGGUCUGGUGGCGAGUGGCGAACGGGUGAGUAAUAUAUCGGAACGUACCCUGGAGUGGGGGAUAACGCAGCGAAAGUUGCGCUAAUACCGCAUACGAUCUACGGAUGAAAGUGGGGGCUCGCAAGACCUCAUGCUCGUGGAGCGGCCGAUAUCUGAUUAGCUAG
rnacentral:rRNA from 1 species